GGGGAUGCACCGGUUUCGACUGGGGCUUGUUGGUAAAGAGAAGCGUGCCGCAGGGUUGGCUGCGUCAAAAACACGCCUAAAAAUUAAACGCAAACAAUAAUGCGGGAUAUCCCGCAGCUAUUGCCGCUUAAAAUUUAGCGGCAUGUCCUGCCCGCCUUACCCAAAGAGGCGAAACAGGGCACAAUCAAAUUUGGGGUACUGUAAGGGCCUUUGCCCCGCGGCCUUUGCGGAAUUUAAGGGGCUGCAGGCGAGCGGCUGUGCCGGCUGUAGUCGCCAGCCCAAAGUAUAAGCACCGGCUACGCACGUAGAAGGCUUUAUGGGCAGGUCUCAGGACGGGGGUUCGACUCCCCCCAUCUCCACCA
rnacentral:tmRNA from 1 species